UACGUAGGGUCCGAGCGUUGUCCGGAAUUACUGGGCGUAAAGAGCUCGUAGGCGGCUUGUCACGUCGGGUGUGAAAGCUCGGGGCUUAACCCCGGGUCUGCAUUCGAUACGGGCUGGCUGGAGUGUGGUAGGGGAGAUCGGAAUUCCUGGUGUAGCGGUGAAAUGCGCAGAUAUCAGGAGGAACACCGAUGGCGAAGGCAGGUCUCUGGGCAUUAACUGACGCUGAGGAGCGAAAGCAUGGGGAGCGAACAGG
rnacentral:rRNA from 1 species